UUAGAUUACUCGUUGGUUAUCACUGCAUUGUCGGAACUAGAAGCACAAGCAUUUCGCUACACUCGCAUUAACAUCUGCUAACCAUGUGUAUGUGACAAAUAACAUUUGAUUUGAUUUCAAAUGGAAUGCGCCACUAAUUCCACUCCAGCCAUUAGCUCGAGCCCGUCCUCCCCAAUUAAGGUGCCACCAACCCCCUGUGACUUUAAGUACACCUCACCUUCGUUGGGGUCCAACUUUAGUUCCCUCUGUCUGUCUCUAUAGGAGUUUAAUGAUGAGGUGUCUGUUGUUCCCUCUGUCUGUCUCUAUAGGAGUUUAAUGAUGAGGUGUCUGUUGUCCCCUCUGUCUGUCUCUAUAGGAGUUUAAUGAUGAGGUGUCUGUUGUUCUCUCUCUCUGUCUCUAUAGGAGUUUAAUGAUGAGGUGUCUGUUGUUCUCUCUGUCUGUCUCUAUAGGAGUUUAAUGAUGAGGUGUCUGUCCCCUCUGUCUGUCUCUAUAGGAGUUUAAUGAUGAGGUGUCUGUCCCCUCUGUCUGUCUCUAUAGGAGUUUAAUGAUGAGGUGUCUGUUGUUCUCUCUGUCUG